rnacentral:rRNA from 1 species
GACGAACGCGGCGGCGUGCCUAAUACAUGCAAGUAGAACGCUGAAGGAGGAGCUUGCUCUUCUGGAUGAGUUGCGAACGGGUGAGUAACGCGUAGGUAACCUGCCUGGUAGCGGGGGAUAACUAUUGGAAACGAUAGCUAAUACCGCAUAAGAGUAGAUGUUGCAUGACAUUUGCUUAAAAGGUGCAAUUGCAUCACUACCAGAUGGACCUGCGUUGUAUUAGCUAGUUGGUGAGGUAACGGCUCACCAAGGCGACGAUACAUAGCCGACCUGAGAGGGUGAUCGGCCACACUGGGACUGAGACACGGCCCAGACUCCUACGGGAGGCAGCAGUAGGGAAUCUUCGGCAAUGGACGGAAGUCUGACCGAGCAACGCCGCGUGAGUGAAGAAGGUUUUCGGAUCGUAAAGCUCUGUUGUAAGAGAAGAACGAGUGUGAGAGUGGAAAGUUCACACU